rnacentral:lncRNA from 1 species
CUGGGGCAGGGCCAGGAUAGGGCGAUCCUGGAAGCUGGGCUUCAGAAGCGUCCAGGCAGGAAUCGGAGUGCUGUAGCACAAUCACAGCUCACUGCAGCCUCAAACUCCUGGGUUCCAGCGAUCCUCCCGCCUCAGCCUCCCCAGUAGCUGCGACUACAGGCAUGUGACACUACACCCAGGUAAUUUAUUGUAGAGACAGGGUCUCACUAUGUUGCC